AUUGAACGCUGGCGGCAUGCUUUACACAUGCAAGUCGAACGGUAACAGGCCUUCGGGUGCUGACGAGUGGCGAACGGGUGAGUAAUGCAUCGGAACGUGCCCAGAGGUGGGGGAUGACGCAGCGAAAGCUGUGCUAAUACCGCAUGUGAUCUGAGGAUGAAAGCGGGGGACCAGGCAGCAAUGUUUGGCCUCGCGCCUUUGGAGCGGCCGAUGUCAGAUUAGGUAGUUGGUGGGGUAAAGGCCUACCAAGCCGACGAUCUGUAGCUGGUCUGAGAGGACGACCAGCCACACUGGGACUGAGACACGGCCCAGACUCCUACGGGAGGCAGCAGUGGGGAAUUUUGGACAAUGGGCGCAAGCCUGAUCCAGCAAUGCCGCGUGCGGGAAGAAGGCCUUCGGGUUGUAAACCGCUUUUGUACGGAACGAAAAGGCUCUGGCUAAUACCUGGGGCUGAUGACGGUACCGUAAGAAUAAGCACCGGCUAACUACGUG
rnacentral:rRNA from 1 species